rnacentral:rRNA from 1 species
AGUGAACGCUGGCGGCAUGCCUUAUACAUGCAAGUCGAACGAGAACGGGAUUAGCUUGCUAAUCUGUCAGCUAAGUGGCGCACGGGUGAGUAAUACAUUGAUACAUGCCUCUAAGUUUGGGAUAACAUCAAGAAAUUGAUGCUAAUACCAAAUGUACCCUACGGGGGAAAGAUUUAUCGCUUAGAGAUUGGUCAAUGGCCUAUCAGCUAGUUGGUGGGGUAAAGGCCUACCAAGGCUAUGACAGGUAACUGGUUUGAGAGGAUGAUCAGUCACACUGGAACUGAGACACGGUCCAG